rnacentral:rRNA from 1 species
UACGUAGGUGACAAGCGUUGUCCGGAUUUACUGGGCGUAAAGAGCGCGCAGGCGGUCGAUCAAGUCGAGUGUGAAAGCCCCCGGCUCAACUGGGGAGGGUCAUUCGAUACUGAUCGACUCGAAGGCAGGAGAGGGUAGUGGAAUUCCCGGUGUAGUGGUGAAAUUCGUAGAUAUUGGGAAGAACACCGGUGGCGAAGGCGGCGACCUGGUCCGAUACUGACGCUGAGGCGCGAAAGCGUGGGGAGCAAACAGG